CAGGCAAGAAAGUUGAGGCUCAUAGGGGUUAGAUGACUUGUACAAAUCCUCCCAGCUAGUAAGAAUCAGAGAUUUUGAAUUCAAGUCUCUCCUGUUCUCUGAGGUUUCUUCCAGUUCCAGGAGUUUGCUCCUUCUCCAGUAACAUUUUCUUUAUAACUCCUUCUUACUUCUUCCCUUGUCAGGCUCUGAGUUUAAAUCCCAUCUCUGCCACUUACUACAAGCAUGACCUUGGGCAAGUCACUUCACUUCUGGGAGGCCUUAGUUUCCUCAUCUGUAAAGUGAUGAGCAUUGGAUUGUAUGCCCACCAAAUUCCUUUCCAAUUCGAAAUCUAUGACACUAUAGCAUGGAAAACGGGUAGGAAAGUAUUGUAGGCAUAAGCCUGUGUAAGUGUAAAGAGAAUAUUGGCUUGGGAGUCUGAUCCCUGGGUUUGAGUUAUGGUCUGACUUGACUAAUUGAGCUGAGAUUGUCACUGCUUUCUUGAAUUCCUUUGAAUCUAGCUAUCUAUGGUUGCAUGCUUCCCUCCUCUCCCCACCACCUUAAACUGUAAGCUUCCUGGAGCGGGGGUGGGGAGGGGUCCUUUCAUUUUGUCUUCUAUCCUACGCAUAGAGAGGGCGAUCAAUUGCCUAUGUAACCCUUUGUGGCACACCAUGGGUGCUUAAGCAAUGCGGAUUCUAUUGCUUUUGAACCCCAGCGCCUGGCACACAGUGGGCGCUUAAGCAGCAUUUCCUGCACUGUCCUGACACUCUCCAGGCUCUCCCACAAGCCCGCUGCGGUGACUUGGGGCAGUCCUGUGCAGCUGUCUGCAGCCCCAGUCCCUGUCUCUCACCUGACAGAGGGCGUGGCGUGGGCUGCCCGAGCCUCCCGGAGGGCUGACGCCCCAGCGUCUCAAAUGCCCGACCGUGGUCGGCUAGGAGCCUCGGUCCGCCUCGGAGCGUAGCGCGCUGCAGCCCCCGCCUUCCGCCCCAUCAGCUGACCUUGCCGUGCGGAAGGAGUUGGGGCCAGUGUGGCCCGGUAGCUGAGCCAAGCCGAGUCGAGAGGAGCCGAGCCCUAGCUCGCUCUGCCCUCCGCGCUCCUGCCCAGUACGCCCUGCGCUUGCCCUGGCCUAUCCCGUUCCCAUCCAGCCCAGUCCAGCCCAAUCCAGGUCCUCCCCUGGCUCCGCGCCCACUAUGGCAGGGCUCGUGGUCAGUGGAACCCAAGUGUCCUACAUUGGUCAGGACUGCAGAGAAAUUCCAGAGCACCUCGGCAGAGACUUCGGACACCUCGCAAAGAGGCUUGAUCUGAGUUUCAACUUGCUGAGGUAUGUAACCUUCACGUGACAAAUCAUGGCCAGGUGAGCCCAGUCUUCCAAGUGCAUAAUGACACACAGCUCAGAGUCAAGCAUUGCAGACCCUGUACAUGUUUUCCUUUCAUCCUUAAUAGGGUAUCCCAAGAUAUGUGAAAUCGAAGCCCCCAAGGUUUGACUGUUUUAAAUUAUCCCUCUGAUUGCUUUUUGUACAAGGGGAAGAAGUAGCAAGUAUUUGUCUCCCUCCAAUUCCCACAAGAGAGGGCAUCGUCAUUUUCCCGUUAUUUUCCUGUCUUGUUGAGAUGUGCGUGUAUCCAAAAGAUCAUUCCUGGAGAAAGAGUGGAAUCUGGCCAGGAGGGCCUUUUGGGGGGCUCUGGGUAUGUUUUUCAACCCCUCCUUCUCUAUUACAUUUUCCAAGGCACAAGCAGGUGUGUGCUUUUGGGCACGCGUGUUUCCUUUCCUUUGCUUGUUAUAAAUUGUGACCUUAAAUAUUUGUGAUAUUGAUUUCUCCCAGAUGGUGUUUAACCAGAAUUCAUACAUUGUUGGCAUCAGGUGGAGUUUGAGGGGGGAAAAGGGGGAGGAAAACCCUUCUCAAACAGCCAGUGUGCUUAACUUUUACCAGGUUUAGAGGUUUAGGUAUUAUUUGGGUUUAUUUCUUCCUUCCAUGAUGUGUUACAAUGUGUGUGUGUGUUUUUUUUUUUUUUGGUGGGGUUUGAAGUGGAAUUGGACAUCAGGAAAGUGGGAUAAAAUGCCAUCUGAAAAAAUAAGGACUUGGUCUCCUAGGGUCAGGGCUGCAUCCUGUUUUUCUAAUAGGUUA
rnacentral:lncRNA from 1 species